rnacentral:rRNA from 1 species
AGAGUUUGAUCCUGGCUCAGGACGAACGCUGGCGGCGCGCCUAACACAUGCAAGUCGAACGGAGCUGAGAGGAGCUUGCUUUUCUUAGCUUAGUGGCGAACGGGUGAGUAACGCGUGAGUAACCUGCCCUGGAGUGGGGGACAACAGUUGGAAACGACUGCUAAUACCGCAUAAGCCCACGGUACCGCAUGGGACUGAGGGAAAAGGAUUUAUUCGCUUCAGGAUGGACUCGCGUCCAAUUAGCUAGUUGGUGAGGUAACGGCCCACCAAGGCGACGAUUGGUAGCCGGACUGAGAGGUUGAACGGCCACAUUGGGACUGAGACACGGCCCAGACUCCUACGGGAGGCAGCAGUGGGGGAUAUUGCACAAUGGGGGAAACCCUGAUGCAGCGACGCCGCGUGGAGGAAGAAGGUUUUCGGAUUGUAAACUCCUGUCGUUAGGGACGAUAAUGACGGUACCUAACAAGAAAGCACCGGCUAACUACGUGCCAGCAGCCGCGGUAAAACGUAGGGUGCAAGCGUUGUCCGGAAUUACUGGGUGUAAAGGGAGCGCAGGCGGACCGGCAAGUUGGAAGUGAAAACUAUGGGCUCAACCCAUAAAUUGCUUUCAAAACUGCUGGCCUUGAGUAGUGCAGAGGUAGGUGGAAUUCCCGGUGUAGCGGUGGAAUGCGUAGAUAUCGGGAGGAACACCAGUGGCGAAGGCGACCUACUGGGCACCAACUGACGCUGAGGCUCGAAAGCAUGGGUAGCAAACAGGAUUAGAUACCCUGGUAGUCCAUGCCGUAAACGAUGAUUACUAGGUGUUGGAGGAUUGACCCCUUCAGUGCCGCAGUUAACACAAUAAGUAAUCCACCUGGGGAGUACGACCGCAAGGUUGAAACUCAAAGGAAUUGACGGGGGCCCGCACAA